GUGUCAGCAGCCGCGGUAAAACCAGCACCUCAAGUGGUCAGGAUGAUUAUUGGGCCUAAAGCAUCCGUAGCCUGCUUUGUCAGUUUUCGGUUAAAUCCAUACGCUCAACGUAUGGGCUGCCGGAAAUACUGCAAAGCUAGGGAGUGGGAGAGGUAGACGGUACUCGGGAGGAAGGGGUAAAAUCCUUUGAUCUCUCGAUGACCACCUGUGGCGAAGGCGGUCUACCAGAACACGUCCGACGGUGAGGGAUGAAAGCUGGGGGAGCAAACCGGAUUAGAUACCCGGGUAGUCCCAGCUGUAAACUAUGCAAACUCAGUGAUGCAUUGGCUUGAUGCCAAUGCAGUGUUGCAGGGAAGCCGUUAAGUUUGCCGCCUGGGAAGUACGUACGCAAGUAUGAAACUUAAAGGAAUUGGCGGGGGAGCACCACAAGGGGUGAAGCCUGCGGUUCAAUUGGAGUCAACGCCAGAAAUCUUACCCGGAGAGACAGCAGAAUGAAGGUCAAGCUGAAGACUUUACCAGACAAGCUGAGAGGUGGUGCAUGGCCGUCGCCAGCUCGUGCCGUGAGAUGUCCUGUUAAGUCAGGUAACGAGCGAGAUCCUUGCCUCUAGUUGCCACCAUUACUCUCAGGAGUAGUGGGGCGAAUUAGCGGGACCGCCGUAGUUAAUACGGAGGAAGGAAGGGGCCACGGCAGGUCAGUAUGCCCCGAAACUCUGGGGCCACACGCGGGCUGCAAUGGUAACGACAAUGUGUUCCGAAUCCGAAAGGAGGAGGUAAUCCUCAGACGUUACCACAGUUAUGACUGAGGGCUGCAACUCGCCCUCACGAAUAUGGAAUCCCUAGUAACUGCGUGUCAUUAUCGCGCGGUGAAUACGUCCCUGCUCCUUGCACACACCGCCCGUC
rnacentral:rRNA from 1 species